CGGCGGACGGGUGAGUAACGCGUGGGAAUGUGCCCUUCUCUGCGGAUAGUCACUGGAAUUGUGAGAAUACCGCAUACGCCCUUCGGGGAAGAUUUAUCGGAGAAGGAUCGGCCCGCGUCAGAUUAGGUAGUUGGUGGGGUAAUGGCCUACCAAGCCUACGAUCUAUAGCUGGUUUGAGAGGAUGAUCAGCCACACUGGGACUGAGACACGGCCCAGACUCCUACGGGAGGCAGCAGUGGGGAAUCUUAGACAAUGGGCGCAAGCCUGAUCUAGCCAUGCCGCGUGAGUGAUGAAGGCCUUAGGGUCGUAAAGCUCUUUCGCUGGGGAAGAUAAUGACUGUACCCGGAAAAGAAACCCCGGCUAACUCCGUGCCAGCAGCCGCGGUAAUACGAAGGGGGCUAGCGUUGUUCGGAAUUACUGGGCGUAAAGCGCGCGUAGGCGGAUCAGACAGUUGGGGGUGAAAUCCCGGGGCUCAACCUCGGAACUGCCUCUAAAACUGCCUGAUCUUGAGUUCGAGAGAGGUGAGUGGAAUUCCGAGUGUAGAGGUGAAAUUCGUAGAUAUUCGGAGGAACACCAGUGGCGAAGGCGGCUCACUGGCUCGAUACUGACGCUGAGGUGCGAAAGUGUGGGGGAGCAAACAGGAUUAGAUACCCUG
rnacentral:rRNA from 1 species